rnacentral:rRNA from 1 species
GACGAACGCUGGCGGCGUGCUUAACACAUGCAAGUCGAACGGUAAGGCCCUUCGGGGUACACGAGUGGCGAACGGGUAAGUAACACGUGGGUGAUCUGCCCUGCACUUCGGGAUAAGCCUGGGAAACUGGGUCUAAUACCGGAUAGGACCACUGCCUGCAUGGGUGUGGUGGAAAGCUUUUGCGGUGUGGGAUGGGCCCGUGGCCUAUCAGCUUGUUGGUGGGGUGAUGGCCUACCAAGGCGACGACGGGUAGCCGGCCUGAGAGGGUGACCGGCCACACUGGGACUGAGAUACGGCCCAGACUCCUACGGGAGGCAGCAGUGGGGAAUAUUGCACAAUGGGCGCAAGCCUGAUGCAGCGACGCCGCGUGAGGGAUGACGGCCUUCGGGUUGUAAACCUCUUUCAGCACCGACGAAGCGCAAGUGACGGUAGGUGCAGAAGAAGGACCGGCCAACUACGUGCCAGCAGCCGCCGUAA